CAAAGAUGCUGUACUAGCUGCUAGAACGUCUUGGGAGGUUUGGGCUGCCGUAACAAAAUACCACAGCCUGAGGGGCUGAAACAACAGAAAUUCAUUUUCUCAUGCUCCUAAAGGCUGGAAGUCCAAGAUCGAGGUUGUCCAUAAUUUUGGUUUCUCCCAAGGCCUCUCUCCUUAUCUUGCAGACACCCAUCUUUUUGCUGAGUCUUCACAUGGCUUUUUCUCUGUGCAGGACUAAUGGCCUAAGGAAAUCUCUUUGCACCCCUGAUCACUGAGAAAGAAGCAGAAGAUUCUGGAGGCAGCAUAUUCAGCAGUUGACAAUUUUGCUACAACCCAUUUAUCAGGUGGCAUCGAAGGUCCUUGGGUUGGACAGUUCUCGCCCAGUCAACCCACCAGGAAUCUGUGACCUACCAGAAUCCCGGAGAUCCUGCGUCUGGAAGGAGUAAGCCAAAUAGGAGAACAUAUUUGCCGUCUUCAUUUGCCAUGAAAACACAUGUCCAUGCUCUGAACACAGCCCAGUGGACAAUGCGUGGCUGGAGGAAAACAUGAAGGUUUGUGGGGGCAGUGACCUUGGAAUGCUGCAUGGAGAGCACCUGGCACAGAGUCUGGCGGGCCACAGGAGCUUGGGCAUCGUGGCCAUCCUCGGGAGGUAGCCUGAUGACAGAUCCUGGAGGGUAUGAAGCAGAGAGUAUGGGCCAUUGGAGUCAGAGCCCCCAGUGGGACUAGCAAGGAGAACCAAGGAUUCUGGAUUUUGCAGCCACAUGGAGGCCAUGAAGAUGGACCAAAAGGGACAGGAGUCAAGGCCCUAAGGAGGACGCAAUGACUUGGGGACUGGUCACACUUUCACAGAGGCAAAUUCAUAGAGACAUAAUAGACCAGAGAUUACCAGCGGCUGGGGGAAGAGAAAUGGGGAAUUAUGGUCUUGUGGGUACAGAAGUUUUGUUUGAAGUAAGCUUAACCAACUGAACUGCCCAAGUGCCUCUAAAU